rnacentral:rRNA from 1 species
GAUGAACGCUGACAGAAUGCUUAACACAUGCGAGUCUACUUGAACUUCGGUUUGGGUGGCGGACGGGUGAGUAACGCGUAAAGAACUUACCUCACAGUUAGGGACAACAUUUGGAAACGAAUGCUAAUACCUGAUAUUAUGAUUUUAGGGCAUCCUAAGAUUAUGAAAGCUAUAUGCGCUGUGAGAGAGCUUUGCGUCCCAUUAGCUAGUUGGAGAGGUAACGGCUCACCAAGGCGAUGAUGGGUAGCCGGCCUGAGAGGGUGAACGGCCACAAGGGGACUGAGACACGGCCCUUACUCCUACGGGAGGCAGCAGUGGGGAAUAUUGGACAAUGGACCAAAAGUCUGAUCCAGCAAUUCUGUGUGCACGAUGACGUUUUUCGGAAUGUAAAGUGCUUUCAGUUGGGAAGAAAAAAAUGACGGUACCAACAGAAGAAGUGACGGCUAAAUACGUG